rnacentral:rRNA from 1 species
CCCGAGCGUUNUCCGGAUUUAUUGGGCGUAAAGCGAGCGCAGGCGGUUAGAUAAGUNUGAAGUUAAAGGCUGUGGCUUANCCAUAGUACGCUUUGGAAACUGUUUAACUUGAGUGCAAGAGGGGAGAGUGGAAUUCCAUGUGUAGCGGUGAAAUGCGUAGAUAUAUGAAGGAACNCCGGUGGCGAAAGCGGCUCUCUGGCUUGUAACUGACGCUGAGGCUNGAAAGCGUGGGGAGCAAACAGGAUUAGAUACCUUGGUAGUNCACGCCGUAAACGAUGAGUGCUAGGUGUUAGACCCUUUCCGGGGUUUAGUGCCGCAGCUAACGCAUUAAGCACUCCGCCUGGGGAGUACGACCGCAAGGUUGAAACUCAAAGGAAUUGACGGGGGCCCGCACGAGCGGUGGAGCAUGUGGUUUAAUUCGAAGCAACGCGAAGAACCUUACCAGGUCUUGACAUCCCUCUGACCGCUCUAGAGAUAGAGUUUUCCUUCGGGACAGAGGUGACAGGUGGUGCAUGGUUGUCGUCAGCUCGUGUCGUGAGAUGUUGGGUUAAGUCCCGCAACGAGCACAACCCCUAUUGUUAGUUGCCAUCAUUCAGUUGGGCACUCUAGCGAGACUGCCGGUAAUAAACCGGAGGAAGGUGGGGAUGACGUCAAAUCAUCAUGCCCCUUAUGACCUGGGCUACACACGUGCUACAAUGGCUGGUACAACGAGUCGCAAGCCGGUGACGGCAAGCUAAUCUCUUAAAGCCAGUCUCAGUUCGGAUUGUAGGCUGCAACUCGCCUACAUGAAGUCGGAAUCGCUAGUAAUCGCGGAUCAGCACGCCGCGGUGAAUACGUUCCCGGGCCUUGUACACACCGCCCGUCACACCACGAGAGUUUGUAACACCCGAAGUCGGUGAGGUAACCUUUUAGGAGCCAGC